CGUGGGUAGUCAGAAAGUGUGUUCAUUAGUUGAGGCGUGGUGGAAAAUGGUUUUGUUGACAUUUCUUCCUGAGGAUUAUUAAAUCCCAUGCUAGUCUUACCAGGGGAAAAAUCAGGACACCAAGGGAAACAUCAGAGUUCUAACAAAUAUUAUUUAAUUUUAAACAUAUCUCAAUUUUCAAGUUAUAAUAGGAUGUCUUGGUAGCCAGGCUGGUGGGAAGCUAAGAGAAGAAAACGGCACACAACAGUUAAGGGUUUACGCUUAUGCACUUACUAUCAGUGCUUUGCUCAAGUUUCCGAGAAAAACUGAGGAAGCUUCUCCACCACCCUCAGAAUGCUGGUUUUACCUUUUCCUUUCUUUUAUGCAAGACUUUUUCCUGGGGUUCUCAACUUCCAACUUAAAAACUAACUGUAGUUAUGUUCUAGGUUUUGUUUAGCUAUUGUAUGGUUUUCCUCUUGUUUCUAUCAAGUUGCUUUUACGUUUACUCUUCCUGGGCUCUGCUGGUUUCUUGAACAACGACUAUCUCUCUGGAUGUCUUGCCUGAGCUUCUGUCGAGCCCAGAUCAAGCCUCAGAGCCAGUGUCAACAAGGAAAACUGGUUCAUAAGCUUUGGAUGUGCUAUCUUCCUCUGCAUGGUCUGCAAGGGGACCAUAAGUCCAGGGCCUCCAGGAUCACCGAGACCAUCUGCAUCACAGCCCUGGAAGCUAAGGACCCAUUCAGUUCCAGAAUGUUCCUUGAAGCUUCUGCUUUCAUCAGAAAUGUUUCUCUUUGAACAUAUGCUGAUUAUUGAAUCUGAGUGAUCCUGACCCUCCCAUUCCCUUGUCUUUUACAGGAUCAUGAGAAUAGGCUGCUGGAAAGAAUGGAAAGGCUUCCUCUUCUGAAACUGUGUGUGUGUAAGGUGCAACCCGACCAGACAGAUCUGCUUUUCCUAGAAUGCCUCCGCUGCUCCCCUCUUGGUGCCUGAAUGUGGAUCUCAUUGGAGGGGGGUUUCCAAGGUACCACACCAGUAAUUGUUCUGUAGAUCUUUUACUGUGAGUAAGCUGCAGUUAACAGUUGCCUCAUGACUUUUAAUUAGGGUGAAAUCGAAUGCAGCCCCGAUUCCAGACCUUCCCACAAUAUCACCACCUCUCCAUAAUAGAGGAAAAAACUGAAUGGUACACAGGGCUGCUCAGCCCCUCAUACACAUGGAUUUUCUCCAGCUCCUUGCAGUGAUCAUCAGCCCUUGGGACCUUGUGGUUUGCCCAUCCCUCCGGCUUCCAUCUGGGUGAUGUCAUCCUGCAGUCCCCCACAGCUCUGAGAUGCGCUGGAUGAUGCUAUUAUUAGCAAGCCUGAGCUCAAGGCCAACUGGCUUGUCUGUUGGCCUCACACUGUCAUGAAUAGGCUUAAUUGCUCACACCCUUUCAGUGGGUUUUUUGAAUAGACAUUUUUAUUAACUUAGCAUUCUUCCCAGCUGUCUUGAAGCAAGAAGUGAGGGUGAAGAGCAGUGGGAGGGGUACCCUCAACCUCCUCUCUCCUCAGACAGAUAAAAGAGCAAGGUGGGCAUGGGGAGGGAGAGCCUCUUACUGGCCACGCUUAAUAGGGAUGUUUGGCCAUCUCUAGGGUGAGAAGCCCUUUUGAGCCCACAGCCCAGUAAACCUGACUUGUCUGAACAGAGGGGACAUUGUACCUGAGGUCACCGUGGCCAAACAGCACGAUGAGAGGAGGCACUAGGCAGCUUCCUUCCUGGCAACCUUGAUUUCAGGGCCACAUGGAGUCUCACACUCUAACUCUCACUCUGUGUCUUACUCUUCCUCUAGCCAAUUGCUAGAGGAAAGGAGGAUUACAUGUUCUUGGGAAAUUUAGCACAUGUUCUUGGUUUUCUGUGGCUGUACACUUAUAUGAUGAAUGAAGGGCUGUCUCUUAUCUGAUCAGUUCUGAACCUUCCAAAAAGGCAGUGAUAUGAACAGGAGGCAGGGAGAUACUGGGUAGACGAAGGCAGUUCCCUGGCAAAGGCCCCACCCUUAAGCCUGGAAACCCGCUGCCCUGUAUGGGAAGAGGCGUUUCUGUUUUCAUGCCCAAUUUUUGCCUUUUGGCCCACCACACUCCCCCAUCCUGUAACCAUAUAAAUCCUAAACCCCAGGCUCCACAAGCAGAAAAGCAGAGGAGCAGUAGAGUGACAGAGCCACAGAAUGGCACAACAGAGAAGGAGAGAAAAGAAGGAGCGUAUGAAUAUCGACAGGAGUUUGGCUGGAGAUGGUUGGAGAGGAGGUUGACCACAGGACAGUCGAACUUCAGGACAUGAUCAUCUUCCUACUCCAUCUUCUCUUCAGCUCCCUAUCCAUCCCACUGAGCGCCACCUCCACCACUCAGUAAAACCCCUGCAGUCACCAACCUUCAAGCCUGUAUGUUACCUGAUUCUUCCUGAACGCCUGACAAGGAUCUGGGUACCAAGAGGACACAGAGCUGGUUCACGCUUAAGCUGUCUGCGGACAGCAGAGCUAAGAGGGUACUGUAACAUGCCCACUGUGGCUUCGGGAGUUACAGGCCUCACUCCUAGAUGCUACUGUGGGGACAGAACCCAAAAGCGCUCACCAGGUUCCUGCACCUGGUGGUCUGUGUGCUCCCCUUCCGGUAAGGGGUUUAAGUCCAUGGCAGUGGAUGAACAGACAAACCACACCCCUGUCACAUGUCCCGCGAGGGGGUCAGAGAACUCUCCCAUUUCAGCAGGAAAAGUCUCCAGGGCCUCUGUUGGGUAUCGAGUUUGUAAAAGUCUGUAUUUAAAAGCCAUUAUCCAGUAAUCCUUGGAGAAAAGGUGUGUUGUGCUUCUCUCUUGAACUUCACUGGCACUGAUGUGGGUUUUUGAAAUUCAAACCCUUUCUCUGGCGACAUAGAUCCAUGCUGAGCUGCUCCUUAUACUCAGGCUGCUGUUGUCUACAGGCAGGCCAGGAGUUCCUAAGGCCUGGGGCAAUCAGGGUGAAUUGGGCUCCCUCCAGUUGAGGACAACUUGUAGUGCAACUUUAGGAAGUAUGUAGCUCACGGGGAUGCAUUUUAAUUGAAAAACAUAUUUUUCCCUCCAAAGAGAACCGAGAAAGCUGCUUUCCUUAAGUCAAAUAAGACUAAGCUACUUUACUUAAGUCAAAGCUACUUUCCUUAAGUCAAAUAAGACUAACUUCUUGACACAGCAAAAUGACAAUUUAUACAUUUUAGGAGCCUCAUCAUGCACAAGAGAAGCCAUGAGUCCCAGCAGCAACAGGAAAAGAAUAAAUUCGGUCAGGUCAGAAGAUGUUGGCAAUUGAACAUGGAAACAAAAGCCUUUUAGCCUGUGUCCCUGAACCCAGGAGCAAGUGCAAAAAGAGAGUGGGUAAAAGCAGCCCUGAGGUUUCAAAGUUAGUUAAUAUCAUUGCAUAAGCUUGGGCAUAUACUAUUUAGGAUUUCUAGGCCAAACACUUGAAAUGUAAAUGUUUUCCACAAACGUAGAUGGAUAAGGAGAAAAGAGAGACACAGGGAGACAGAAGAGUGGAGGUGAGAAGAAAAGGGGAGAGAGGAUGAGAGAGGCAGAGGGGAAAGUGGUGAAAGGAAGGGAGAAAGGGAGACUUAAGGUUCUCAUUUCACCUAAUUCUAGGAAGGCUGGAAAUACUGGCUUCUCUCUACUGGGGCAAAGGAUGGCUUCUUACCUCCUUCAUCUCCAGGGCUCUUUCCUUAGUGUGGCAACUGAAGAAUGAGGAUGACAGGCUCAUAAAUGUGGAGAGGAGAGCUUUGUUUCUCUUAAAGGGUUGCAGCCUGCAAGGUUGUCAUUCUGACAGGCUGGGAGCAUAGCCUCUGGCCAGAAGGGGCAAAGGGAACAGAAAUUAAUGCUGAAUAGGGUGACCAAAUAUACAUAUUUAAUAAGUCAUAGAAGAAGUCAUAAUUUUUUUUUUAACUUUUAGUUUCAGAGUUACAUGGGCAGGUUUGUUACGUAGGUUAAUUGCAUGUCAUGGGGGUUUGGUGUAUAGAAUAUUUUGUUACCCAGGUAAUAAGCAUAGUACUCAAUAGAUAGUUUUUGAAUCCUCCUCCUCCUCCCCACCCUUCACCCUCAAGUAGGCCCCUGUGUCUAUUCCCUUUGUGUUCACACUUAUUCAAAGUUUAGCUCCCACUUAUAAGUGAGAACAUGUAUUUAGCUUUUUUGUUCAUGUGAUAGUUUGCUUAGGAUAAUGACCUUCAGCUCCAUCCAUGUUUCUGAAAAAGACAUGAUCUCAUAUACACAAUGGAAUACUAUGCAGCCAUAAAAAAGAGUCAUGAAUAUUUUUGAGAGGAGGAAUGCACAGGCAGUUGCAUUUUUACCCUUUCACAGACAGCUUCCAUGUACAAAAAAUGCUAAAUCAGAGGGUGGAAUUUUUGGCCCUCUGACAUCAAAAGGUGAAGCAGAACAUGCAAAAACCCUCACUGUGCAUUCUCUGUAGUCUGGUCAGAACCACUCCAUGGCUGGUGGUGUCAAAUCAGGUAAAAGAGUAGGGGAAGCAUCAGGAGACUGGAUGAUGUCAGCGGUGGAAUCUUCUUAAAGGGCUGGUGUCUGUUUAGCCCUUAAGGAAGAAAAGCUAAUGGUGGUUAGCGAGGGAGGAGGCAUGAGGAGGCCUGUCUGAGCUCAGUUCAUGGAGGAGAACUCAGUUUUCAAGGUUACUCUGGGGUCCCACUGGCCAAAAGAUGGUCCGUUCAGUUGGUUAGGAGGUUUCGAAUUAAUUUUACUUCUCAAGUUUUAUCCUCAGGCUACUUGAAGAGGUUCACUAUGCCCCAAGCCCACCAUGGCAUUUACAGGGGGUCCUGGUGCGCUGCUUUGCCCAGCUUUUCACCUCUACCAGCGUCCUGCUGGCCAGCAUACCCUUUCAGCUCCAUUGAUUCCUUUGUCCCAUUUUCUUCACUUCCAGCCUAGGGUUACGGAUUGCUUUUUUCUUUUUUUUCUUAUUCUUUUUUUUUUCUUCAUUUAUCCUUGACUUGAAACACAUGCUUUUUGUUUUUAAAUCUUUUAAACAGUGAAAGUCUGGCACGAUGCUCAAAAAUCUUCACUUGAUAUUGAACUAAGCCUUUACCUGACACCUUGUGUUUCAAUUAUCUAUUGACUUUCUCUUCUCCUCCACUUCACUGAGCAUAAUUUGAGAGCAGUAGCUAGGCUGUUUUACUAACCUGAGUGUGUCCAAUUCCUAGCAUAGUUCCUGGUAGUCAGGAAAUGUUCAACACGUGCUGUUGUAUAAGAGAUUGAAGGUUUUAUUGUGUGUUCUUGAUCCUGAAGUACACAUUGGCUUACAUUUUAAUAUAUCUGAUAUAAAGGUACGCUUUACAAUUGAUGUAUGCCUUUUUCAUCAUCUUUUUUUUGAAAAGCUAUUAAUGCACUGGUUUCACCUUAAAAUCAAAUUACAACAAUAACACUUGUGUAGAUACAGGGUUCUCUGAGAAAAUUUGAGUGUCUUAUAAAUUAUGAAAAUGUUCCAGAAAAUUUGCACUGGUCUGAACACAUAACAGAUUUAUAUUAAUGAUCAUGGAAUUAUUACCUAUUCUGACUUUUUAGAAAAAACACCAGAACUCACUUCCACCUGGGACAAAUUUCUACAAUAAUUUGGCACUUAUCUAACUGACAUAACUGGGUUUUUUGUUGAUAUAAAUAAUGGAGUGAAUAACAUAACUAUUACGCA
rnacentral:lncRNA from 1 species